UACGAAGGGGGCGAGCGUUGUUCGGAAUUACUGGGCGUAAAGCGUGCGCAGGCGGUUUUGUAAGCCAGAUGUGAAAUCCCCGGGCUUAACCUGGGAAUGGCAUUUGGGACUGCAAGGCUGGAGUGCGGCAGAGGAGACUGGAAUUCCUGGUGUAGCAGUGAAAUGCGUAGAUAUCAGGAGGAAUACCGAUGGCGAAGGCAGGUCUCUGGGCUGACACUGACGCUCAUGCACGAAAGCGUGGGGAGCAAACAGG
rnacentral:rRNA from 1 species